rnacentral:lncRNA from 1 species
CAAGUUCUCUGGCUGGAUUCCUCCUGCUGCCCCAGGCUGGGUGACACAGUUUGCAAGGCUCCUCUCUGUUGCUCUCAUAUUUUAAAUUGCAGGCGUUCCAGCCUGACCCCAAAUGCAGCAGAACUAUUCUGUCAGGAGUAAAGCAAUGGUCCCAAAAAUGCCGCACGGAAGCAGCUGCAACAACAUCGGUGGUGGUGUCCCAGGAGGGAAGGACCUGUGUUUCAGCAGGAGGAUUCUUUAUAGGCAGAGAAGAACAAGACAGAAAAUAUGACUCUUGUGGAAACACCCAAUGUUCAAAGGCAACAGCUGCAUGCACACUGCUGCAAUGUACAGUAGAAGUUAGAUUUGACACUGUCAAAUGGUUUAUUCUGAGGAAAAUGAUUGUUCUGUGUAUCCAUAAAAAAUGUAAGGAGAAAGAUUUCCAAAUACAUUUAUGAGUAUCUCAUCAUUCCUCCGCUGGCGUGUCCCUCUGUGUGCACCUACGCGCUGCUUCCCGUUUAUGUGAUGGGGAUUUUCCAGAGGGAGGAAUUCACCACUGAAGUAUUUGGAUCCUGCAACUGCAGGUACAGCUUUGGAUUUAGAAGCUGGAGCAAGCCCAGAUGCUUCCAGCUGUCGUCAAUUCCUGCUCCCUGAAUUGCUUUGGAUGCCGACUGCAGCCCCUGCAGUUAACACAUUGCCCUCCUUGCCAUUUAGCAAAGGAAAAGGGCACAAUCUUGACACUCCUCUGCUGGGCUUGCUUUGGAAGAUACAAAGGGUAGGAAAAGUUCUGUCUUACAUGUUGAAAUAAUAAGGCCUAUAAAGCUUUUUGUGGCCUUAUAUACAAAAAAAUAGUGUUUUCUGGAGUGCUGGAAGUGCACAAAAUAGCUACAGAGACAGACUGGACUCUGAAAUGAAUGGCCUUUUCUUCUGGAGGUCUUCCAGUGAUCUGUCUACUUCCUUUCUAAUCCCCUAUAAACUUGUAGCUGCAGUAGCAUUUUCAUAGCUCAGGAAGGCAUUUUCCUGUUCAUCCUCUCCAUCACUGGUGACUGUAGAACAAUUAUCAAAUCUCCUCCAGUAUUCUCUGUUCUCAAGCCGAAUUGUACUUGUCUGUUUAACUGUCUUUAUUCCUGAUACAGGAGAUAUUUCCUAUGGAUAGGCUAAUACAUGUAGCAUUUCUUUGCUUGUUUUCCAUUCUCCUAUACCUUUUUAAGAUUGCGAAACCAGAAGUGUCCACGCCAUUCAGGAAGUGGGCACGGUAACGUUUUGUACCAGGGACACAGAGAGCACUAUGAUCACCUGAGUACCUGCUCAUGGAGCAAUCUGGCAGGUGCAGAAAGGUGUUUAACCCACCUUCUUCUCACAGUGCCCUUUUACGUCAGGGUCACUGCUGCAGAUCCUGCUCCAUGUCACGCUCCACACUACAACCUAAAAAAAGAGAAGCGUCCCUCACAUAAAGAA